rnacentral:rRNA from 1 species
GCGCACCCAGAAACCCUUUGUGAACUUAUACCUUACUGUUGCCUCGGCGUAUGCUGGCCCCUAGGGGUCCCUCUUGUCUCAAGAGGAGCAGGCACGCCGGCGGCCAAGUUAACUCUUGUUUUUACACUGAAACUCUGAGAAAAAAACAAAAAUGAAUCAAAACUUUCAACAACGGAUCUCUUGGUUCUGGCAUCGAUGAAGAACGCAGCGAAAUGCGAUAAGUAAUGUGAAUUGCAGAAUUCAGUGAAUCAUCGAAUCUUUGAACGCACAUUGCGCCCUCCGGUAUUCCGGAGGGCAUGCCUGUUCGAGCGUCAUUUCAACCCUCAAGCCUGGCUUGGUGUUGGGGCACUGCUUCUCUCGCGGGAAGCAGGCCCUCAAAUCUAGUGGCGAGCUCGCCAGGACCCCGAGCGUAGUAGUUAAACCCUCGCUUUGGAAGGCCCUGGCGGUGCCCUGCCGUUAAACCCCCAACUCUUUGAAAAUUUGACCUCGGAUCAGGUAGGAAUACCCGCUGAAUUAAAGCAUAUUAAUAGCCGCACGAGAGAUCGCUUUGCUCGAAAGCCCCCCGGCACACCUUAAACCCUUUGGUGAACUUAUACCUGACUGUUGCCCGGCGUACGCGGCCCUAGGGGGUCCUCUGUCUCA